ensembl:lncRNA
UAUAUGUACAGCUACAGUAUAUGUACAGCUACAGUAUAUGUACAGCUGCAGUAUAUGUACAGCUGCAGUAUAUGUACAGCUACAGUAUAUGUACAGCUGCAGUAUAUGUACAGCUACAGUAUAUGUACAGCUGUAGUAUAUGCACAGCUACAGUAUAUGUACAGCUACAGUAUAUGUACAGCUACAGUAUAUGUACAGCUACAGUAUAUGUACAGCUACAGUAUAUGUACAGCUACAGUAUAUGUACAGCUACAGUAUAUGUAGCUUUCAGUUUAUACUUUUAAUGGACCUAGCAAUGCCACACUUUAUCGUAGGGGUGAGAAAAACACUUCAACACCCCACACCAGUUAGUCCUUGACACUAAUUAACUCCUUACACUUAGCGUCUGCCUGUGCCACUCGGGCACAGUUCUAAGCAAUAAAGAUUGAAUGAAUGUCUGGUCACGUCGUGUCCAUGUUUUGCACAUAGAAUAUACUGCUGAAGUGUAAGUUGAAGGAAGCAUUGUGGGCAGCAAUUCAACAGUUUGUCAUUGGUACACCAAGCAUGGAUAACAAUAAGGUACCAAAUCCACAUGGGCAGUUUUCAGCUCAUUUCUUUAACAAAUUAAGCCUUUCGUUAGUAUAGCCAGUUUUCACUCACAAUAAUUAGUGGACCAAGCCACAGCAUUGGUAUUAUCCUGGAGCAAUUUUUUACAGUAUCAAACUCACCAGUCACUAUUGACUCUAUUGGGAAGAUGGAGGAUCACAUCAGUUUCAUGUUAAAUAAAUAAGCCUAUUACAAUCCUGAAUUGUGAAGUUUUGUCAUUUGUCUUUGCAGCUUGAAUUCCUGGGGGACAGAGGGGUGUUGAGUUUGAGUUGCUACAGUACUUCGCAGUCAACCGUCUUAAAACUUCACUGUUGCCCAUGAGGACACUAUGUACCUACCACAAAGUUUACUUGUACCAAAAUUAAAAUGAAGACUACAAAUGAAGGUUUUUUUCCAAUUAUUUUGUGAAAUGUGGGAUAAAGAUGAUUUAUAUGCAACUUUUCUACAUUUUAUAAGAGUUUUGUAAAUAUAUGAAUACACAUAGCUCUAUAUAAUAUAUGUAUAAAGGGAGACAUGAUGUAGUAUAGCCUUGUAUAAAUCGCAGGGCUAUGAGGUUAAGGCUGAUGCACAAGUAUAGGCCUCAACUGUGGUGUGUACUGUUCUUCUAUGCACAAGAGUAUGACAAGGUAUAUGUUAUUACUGUAAAACUAUUACUGUAAAAUGACCACGAGGGUUUGUAUCUGCCUAAUAUGUUUAUACUGCAAAUAAAGCACAUUGUUUAAC